GCCGUCUCUCCCGCUGCGCGGCUGCUCCGGGGGCCCGGCUGCGGUGAGUGUGGCUCUCUGUUCCCGCGUCCGCGCAGCUUUGGGGGCCGCAGCCUCCCUGUGGGCUCGUGCCUGCGACGGCCCUAAGAAGAUGGAUUUUCGUGUCUUUCUCCAGGAGAGCCUUUGGUCUACAGCAAGAUCAGCAAACCUCCUCUGUAAAGAGUCAGGUAGUAAAUAUUUGAGGCUUUGCAGACCAUAUAAUCUGUGCCACAACUACUCAGCUCUGCCACUGUAGCAUGAAAACAGCAAGAGACGUUGCAGGUCCUUCGAGGUGUGGGAUGUGGGACGCCACCUCAAUGUGGC